AUACGAAGGGGGCUAGCGUUGUUCGGAAUUACUGGGCGUAAAGCGCGCGUAGGCGGAUUGGUCAGUUAGGGGUGAAAUCCCAGGGCUUAACCCUGGAACUGCCUCUAAUACUGCCAGUCUUGAGUUCGGGAGAGGUGAGUGGAAUUCCUAGUGUAGAGGUGAAAUUCGUAGAUAUUAGGAAGAACACCAGUGGCGAAGGCGGCUCACUGGCCCGAUACCGACGCUGAGGCGCGAAAGCGUGGGGAGCAAACAGGAUUAGAAACCCUAGUAGUCC
rnacentral:rRNA from 1 species